AUCCUUUUGUGGUUCACAAACUUGAUGACUGGAUUUUCACACUAUUGUGUGAGAUGUGCCUCUCUGUAAACCUUGCUAUGAUGAUGGCACAUUACCCGUCUGACG